UUCUUUUUUUUUUUUGAAGGUAAAACAUCGCGCAAUUUCUACGACUCGGCACUACAUUGUAGCGAUCAACAGCGGGUAGCCGCGAACCCUACCCCGUCACGGGCCGAAAAUUAUUGGGGGAGCCGGCGUUUUUGCGGCCGAUAUAGAAACGUAGGGGCAUCGCUGCACUUACCGAUCCAUGAGCGGAACGUGCCUUCCACGGCUGGGCGGAAUUCGCCGGUGUCUUCUCGCCGCCGCCGGCCAUGGGCGGGCCCCGAGAGGCGCCGAAGCGGAAGUGCAAGAGCAAGUCGGUGGGUCGGUGGCUUACGUUUUCUUCCGCUUUGGUAAAGCGCCUUGCGAUUUUAUUGGUGGUCACGGGGGUUUGUGCAAGAAACAAAACCGACUCGGAUGCAAUGUGGGCUGCUGGGGCUAGAAAGGUCUUUUCUCGAAGCCCAAGCCCAGUUAAGAAAGCCCAACAGUCAAACUCAUCAUGAACUUCACCGGCCCACGGCAACGGCGUUGCGAGUUGCUCCGUUUGGCGUUUGCUCUGGGGCAAGCCCCGCAUACGACAAGUAUGCUGGGGCAAAUUUCCUUCAUAUUUAGAUGAAGCAUUUGAACUCCCUUCACAAAUCAAAUUCUUGCCUCAUCUUAUUCACAACUAAACAAGCGCAGAACUUGUGAACUUGUAUCAUUUGGUUUGAUUGAUGCAUAGAAUAUGAUCCUUUUAUUUGGUUGAAUGAAUUGUAUUAACCCAUUUAGAAUCAAGUCAUUAUUUUACUGGAAGUGAACCAUACAAGUAAAUAGGUUCAAAAGUAAAUAGGUUCAAAAGUAAAUAGGUUCAAGAUCAUCGCGUGCAACCAAACACACUCGAUCACCGAGCUAAUUCAUCACCUUAAUUAAACAAACAUGUAACUCCGUACUACUUACGUAAGCAAUUCAGAUUUCUGAUUCUCGUAAGAGCAAUUCAGAGUUCUGAUUCUCGUAAGCGCGGGAAACGACGCGUGCAUCAGCUCAAAGCUGCGAGGCUGGACCCCGACGCGACCUCCUCCUGACGCCGAGCGCGGCGAGCAGGGCCCUCAGGACGCGGCCCGCCGGCGGGCACGGCGACCUCGCGCGGCACCUCCCCUUCUUCAGCUGGGACGAGUGGUACGACGGCGGCGGCGAUAUCGGCGGGAGCUCAGCAGCAUCGAUGCCUGCGGCCAUCUCGUCGGCGGGCGCGACGGAAGCCGUGGCCGCGGCGCUCUUGGGCGUGCCGCCGGGCGCGACGGCAGCCGUGGCGGCGGCGCUCUUGGGCGUGCCGGGCGUGGACUCCCACAGGAACGGCACGGCGCCGGGGCGCAGGGUGUAGUACACCCGGAACGACGCGGUCGCCAGGCUCGACCGCUCCAUCGCCGCGGCCACCUCGCCGCCGACGCUGCCGCUUCUCCUGGAGGUGAUCGGCCGCCGGAGAGCGAGCUGCUUGGAAUCCAUGAGGUCAAGCUUAGGAUUCAGUGGUAGGAACAAUUUCACUGGAAAUACAACAGUGUGAUUGCAAGCCUGCGACGAUCAAGGUGCUGGGCGAACCUAGUAUAGCUCUGAUCACGGAAGCAAGCUAAAGCUUGGGACUUUAUAUAGGCAGGGACGGUUUGACUUGUGGCUAGGCUGGAUCCGGUGUGAAGCUGCUGGCCUGGCUCGGCGCGGAACAUGAGGUUCUGAGAGGGAGUGAGUUGGAAGCUAGCGAGCUCCGAUUUGAUCAUUGAUCACGAUUACAAUCCACAAGCCUGUGCCUGUAGCAGUCGUGAAUAAUGAGCAGUGGGCAGUUGAUGACGCGGCAUUAAUUUAAUAACAAGCUUCAAGAGGAAACGGGAUGGAGAUGGGCGGUCGCGCUCAGCAGGCCCACUUACUGACAGGACUUGCCUUGAGCAGCACAGAUGAUGAUGCAUGCGUUCAGCCAUUAUUCAGAACCAGCGAGUUGUGUUUCUCGUCCUCCUUUUCGUUUCUUUUAUGUAGUUGUUGAAGAGGAGGCCGACUUGAUUAGUGAGAGAGGGCAGCGCGCUUGGACAUUGACGCGCGCUCUGGUCGGUUUGUUUGCUCAAGGUUCCUUUCCGACAGUGUCAUCUUACCUCCUCUAGAGCUAGAUGAAGCAGCAAUUCCGGCCAAGUGUUCAGAACUUUUUACUGUUGUCCCAAAUGUAGGAUUGGAUGAGAUCCUGGAACAUUGCCGAACGAGAAGAGACGGAUGCACUGACCAACGACCUGAAAGUCUGAAACCACGCUCACAUUGUUAUCAGGAGUUGAGGGUUCAUGAGGUGUCUUUUUUUUCUGAAGUGGCAGGUACACUGCACAGGAAGGUCAGCCAGUAAGAGUGAAAGGCCAUAGGUUUUCUUACAGGUCAUCCAGCAGAAAGGUGUUCAGCUAGCUAGUAGUUGGCCCGUUGCUAGCUGAACCUCUUGUCUGUUGCUGAUCACUUGUAAUUUCAGAAGGACUUUUUGUCUCUCUUGCGAUGCGAAUUCGUCAUAAAAUUCAGACAAUGAGAUCGUCCGUUUGUCCAUAUCACACUCCAGGAUCGACGCUCUCGGCCGAUCGGUGACAAAAACGUCUCACCGGGCAUGACUGAGAUCAAGCUACUGAAUACAUAAGACACUUUGUUUAAUUAAUGGAAUAGCUCCGGUAAUUAGUCUACGUCGCCACCGGUUAGGUUAACUAACCAUCAUAUUACCCAUCGCUCGCUGGAAUAGUAGCACAGCAUCGACCAACCAGUAAACUUGCAGGCAUAGGUCUUGUCGUGUCUCACUGCCUGACAGCAGUCUUACUAGUAUACAGAAUCCUACCGAACCCUGAAAAAACUGGACCUGUUUUCAUACAGUGAACUGAACAUGCUUUAAAGAGUUGCAGCAUCAUGCUAACUAACCCACUGCAGUUUUCGGAAAUUGUGGGGCCUGCUCCCUUCCUGCUCAGUCACUGAUGUGCCCUCGCAACGACGAUUGACUGCUUCAAAAUAGAAGCCGCCGCUUUAUACGUACAUAAAAGUUCUCUACUCAAAGCUUUCCCGUUGCAACACUAAAUUUCAGUAUACUUGAAAAGAAAAAAAAAUCUGUCUUAGAAAAAAAAUACUUCGUGAUCAAAGCAACUCCAGCAAUGGCUCCUACUUCAAGCUCCUACUUUAUUGAGUAGAGGCUGCCCUAAUUUUCUGGGACUCUAGAAUUAUAGAAUAUGCACAUAACUCCAACAAAAGCCCCUACUUGUAAGUCCCUACUUUUUACAUGACAGGACUCAUCUGUGGAUAACUCUUUGUUUUCUUUUAUUUUUCUUAUUUUCUUUUAUUACCUUAUCUAUUUCUAUCGGCCAGUGCUACCGGCUCCCACGAAUGCCUUCGUUCGUGUCGCGUCCCUACACGCCGCGCCUCCUCCUACUCCGCCCGUCGCGACCCUCCACCGUCCCUCCUCCUCCUCAUCGAAUCGGAGCUCGAGGAUUGUCCCUCCACGCCAUGCCUCCUCCUUCUCCGCCCGUCGCGACCUUCCACCGUCUCUCCUUCUCGUCAUCGAAUCGGAGGUUGAGGAUUUGUCGAUUUGAGUGGAGGCGGCCAAAAUCGAUCGAAUACACGGAGAGGCAUUGGUGGCCUGCCGCGCCGCCUCCGUCUCCGCCCAUCGUGACCCUCCACGGUACGCUGCUUCCUCCAUCACCCCUCCUACUCCUUGUCACUGAAUCGGAGCUCGUGGAUUUGUUGAUUUGACUGGAGGCAGCCAGAAUCGAAGGCGACCGUUGAAUUGGAGCUCCAAGUCGGCCAUGGGGAAGGGCAGGAAGGCAGCCCCUUUGUUGUCGACACCCGUGCGGAUCCAACCUAGGGUGGCUUGGGCAAAGGAGUGGCGAAGAUGGUGAGGCGCAGCUGUCUGUGUGGUGGUGGAGCGGCUACCGUCGACGCGAGUGAGGAGCGAUGGGGAACGUCCCGACGGCCGUAGGCGGAAAACCAAAGAAAUAGUCGAGCAGGGGCUUCUCUCUACUCGUGGGAGAAGGGGCUGAAGGGAGGAAAGUAGGGGGCCUACUAGAGUAGAGAUCCGAGUAGGAGUCCUGCUGAAGUGCGUUUUUUUCACUGCUGAGUAGGGACUCUGUUGGAGUUGCCCUCGAGCCUCUAUUUCUGUACAAACAAUAGGAAUUUCUCCACGAAAUUCUUUUUUCCCCCUUAUCAAACCGGCUUAUCCUUCGAAAUGUGUGAGUUGGGCCGCUAUGUGUCAAUAUUUGCUCGUGGCCCAUAGCUGAGGUGCCAGCCCAUUUGAGAAGGGAAGGGUUUAGGGGAGAACUGAAAACCUCACUUCGCCGGCGGCGAAUUAGUUGGCGGCGGCGGGAGGGGAAACCACGUUCUUCCUCUCGCAGUUCUCCGUGCCUCUCCAGACCUCACCGCUGGCUGACGGGCACGACAAGCCGCCUCCGUCCACCGAAGUCCUCUCUACCUCCCGUCGCCCCAGAUCGCCUUCCUCCCUAUCUUCCUCGCCAUCUACUGCUGCUGCUGGACUGGCGAGGGGCGGAGAUCCGUCCAGCCCUGGAUUUACUGCUUUUAUGUUCGUGAGUAACUCCAGCUUUCAUGGAUGGGUGUUAUUGGGUGUUUUCCCCCGCGACUAGAUGCUCCUUCCAAUUCUCCAUUUCAGUUGGUUACUGAUUUGUCUGCUGCGUUAUACUUAUAUCUAAUCCAUCAAAUUCAUGGUUCGAUUAGGCUGUUGGUCUUCGGCGUGCAAGCUCAAUUGAGUUGAGACCAUAAAGAUUUGUCACCCGAGGUGCUAGUGCAGCGGUAACAAACCCCAUGACCCGCGUUAAGUCUGCCCCUGGUGGGCAAAGAAAUUGGAGCAGCGGCGGGUCUACCAGUGGAAGAAAGAACAAGGAAAGAGGAGAUGAUAGAGCAAAAGGAACCAGGGUUGCAAGUUGGAACAAUAGCAAGGAGACGGAAGGACACAAAGGGCGCCAAGGAGAUGCGGGAUCAACAAGGCGUUGGAGUGAGGGAGUGCCUCGAGUUGGUGAGAAGAAGAGCAUGUCUGGGUUUGACAGGAGGAAAAGGAAGAUCGACGGCGACUCAUGGGAUGAUGAUGGUGGUGGCAAGAAUGUUUCGCCUUCCAAGUCAAAGUUUACCAGAAAGACUGCUUCCACCAUAAACCGUCGAAAAGUUGUUCCUGGAAAAGAUCAUAGAUUGAAGUCUCAAAGUUUGUACGAGGAAGAUUCACGUGCAGGGAGGAGGAGUACAAGCAAGGUUUCUGAUAUUAGAGGGAUCAAGGGUCGAUCACCGCUCAGUAACAAUUCUGGAGCAUCAAAAGGGAAGAAAUUUGAUGCAUCUACAGAAUUCAGGCGUACAAAAAGGGGUGGAGCGAAGGAUGUUGCUUUGGAUGAGGAAGUUGAAGAUAACAAGAAAUCAGAUGACCCAGGUCAUAUUACUGAAGAAGAGAAACCUCGCCCUCGCCUUACUCGAGUGCUGGACCAGAGUGGGAAGAAGUUAAAGCCUGCUAAGAAGGAUGUCGUUCCUGAUGCUGAGGAACCUUCUCCUCCUAAGAAGAGAAAACGAAUGAAGCUUGAUCCUUAUGACACUUCAAACAAACGGAUUGAAGAUUCUCCUCCUGUCCAGGAUGGUGCGAAUUCUGACUUUUAAUUGUUCAUAUGACUUAAGCUUAAUCUUAUUGCUUAAUGCACUACUCAUGUAUAUUCUUCUUAGUUCUAUUGUUUCAUGUGCACAACCAAAUAAACCCUUAAACAUAAAACAUGCCUCGUUGUUGAAUAUUUUCUUUAUCUGACCUUGAAAUAGUGUUCUACUUCUUAUCCCUAAGCGUAACACAUGGCAUAUUUUUCAUUUUUUAGGGAUAUUAAUGUCAGGCUAAAGGAAUGUAGAGAAUCUUUGUAUUGGUUUUCCUUGUACCAGGGUACAAUAUUGAAAAGAUUUAAAUAUGAUAUGAGAACAGACAUUUCUAAAAAAAAUGAACUAAAUAAAUAAAGAGGAUAUUCAAAGGACGCUUACACAUUGGGACCUUUUACAAGGCCAGUUUACUUUUAGAUUGGAGAAGCGUGCGAUUUGAUAUUUGAUCCUGAACUCCUGAAUUCUGAAAAAAAAAAUGAAAUAUGUGUUUACUUGCUUCGAUUUUUCAUGAGUAUUGUCUUUCAUGAAAGACAUUUAUGUUGAAUAUGUAAUCUGGUGCUUUUGUUUUGAUAUGUUCCUUCUGUCCUUUUGGUUUCUGUUUAAAGUUUCCAGAGCAGAGAAGGUUAUGGUGAAGUGUGCACCUGAAGAGACUGAAAUGUCUAUAAAUGCAAAAUUCCGUGCUAUACAGCCAGCUCCAUCAAUCCUUUCAUAUGUUGAAGAUAAUGUACACAUGAAUUACCUCUUAUCAACCUUCUCGCAGACUUCAGUUAUAUGUGUAACAUCCUCUUACUGUUGUUUGCAGUUACUAGGUCGUAGGCGUCUAAAUGAGAUAAAAAAUGCUGGCUACAAUGUCAAGAUUUCUGCUCCUUUGGAUAAUGUUCCCUUCUCAACCAGCACAGAACGUGAGCGCAUAGAAGAAAGUGUAAGAACUAUGCCAUAUAAUCAGUGCCAGAAAAAAGUCUCUUCUACUUUUGCCUUGGGGUGGUUAUAGAGUCAUAUCUACCACACAGUUAUGAUGUUAUCUGGCACUUUGUUGUGCGAAUUUCAAGCUACAAUUAGUAUUUGUUGUUCACAUUAAAUAAUUGACAGGUGUUCAGAAAUCAGCUGGAAUUCUUUGCUGCUGCCAAGAUGUCUUCAUCAUUCCCUCCUCCUACACUUCCAGAGAUAGCAUUCGCAGGUAACUGAACUACUGACGGAAACCACAAUGUUGUAGUUGGGACAUUUUAGGUGUAUCAAAUGUCUUUGUUAACCCAGUGAAAUAUUAGGUGUAUCAAAUGUUGGAAAAUCCUCACUCCUAAAUGCACUUACAAGACAAUGGGGCAUUGUGCGAACAUCAGAUAAGCCAGGACUUACUCAGGUAUGUGUGCGAUGAACCUGUGCGAAGAGUGGCGCACAGAGUGUUGCUUAUUUUCUUAUAUCGGUUUUGGGCGCUUAAAAUUUAUUUAUUAGUAUUAAUUAUUAAAUGCAGAGUAUAAAUUUCUUUCGGCUUGCAUCGAAGUUAUGCCUUGUUGAUUUACCUGGAUAUGGAUUUGCUUAUGCAAAGGAAGAAGUUAAGGAAUCAUGGCAAGACCUUGUAAGUACCUUGAAAUCUUAAUAGUAGGCUUAAAAUGAAUCUUGUAAUGCUGCAUUCUGCGUCAGUUGAUCUGCUAUUCUUCCUAAAACAACUGUUACAAUUUGUAGGUGAAGGAAUACGUUUCUACCAGGGUUGGCCUAGAAAGAGUGUGUCUUCUUGUGCACACUAAACGUGGAAUGAAGCCAUUGGACUAUGAGCUUGUAGAUUUAAUGGAAAGGUGUGCCUUUCUUGUUCAUUUUAGUUUCAAAUAGUUCAUACUUUUGCAUGGCCUUGAUGCAAGUACAUCAUAGUCAGUAAAACAAGAAUAAUUCAUUAUUGUAUGCAAAUUUCCUCAGAACAUUUUAGUUGCCUCUUUGAAUUAUAUAUUUAUACUAAUGUGACCUCUGUUUCUGUAAUUGACAUUUCUGUGCAAUUGUAGGCACAAGACACCGUACCAAAUUGUACUGACCAAGACUGAUUUAGUUUUCCCGAUAGAUGUCGCUCGCCGUGCUGUGGAAAUCCAAGAGGUUAUUUUCCCACUCCAUCCUGUUAUAUGCACAUUUCAGUUUAUUACCUAACAGAAUUGUUUGCACACUCGACUGCAGAGUCUAAAGAAGAAUAAGUCAGUGGUAAACCCAGUGGUGAGCUCUUGAAUUCGCCUCUCUUCUUUUACCGAAUGUGCACUCUUUGCUUUUUUUUAUGAAAAUACAUUGUCGUCUCAUGCACUGAUACUUGUUGAUGUAGAUGAUGGUGAGCUCUAAAACAGGAGCUGGCAUACGCAACCUGAGAGGUGUGCUUGGAAAAUUGGCUCGCUUCAUCAAACCUUAGCCAAGCGACUGCAAGUUUUGGACACUGCAUCAAAGGAGGCUAGCUAAAGCAUUCCUAGGUAGGUUAGGAUUCGGAGGCUAGCUGUAUCACAGGCUCGGAUUUGGAUAUUAGUGAACUGUUGUCAUUUUGAGGGGAUUAAUGCCAUGUAGAGAUCAGAUCACAUUCCCGAUCUACAUAAUUCCGUCAAUUGCUUAAUUCCGUGAAAUAACUGAGGUUUCCACAUUUGGAGAUAUACGGUGCUCACAAAAGCCUACUGGUGUUUUGUUGGCUCUUGCUGGUCACCGUACAUCCUUUUAUGCAUGGCUCCUUGAUGUAGACUGUGGAGUACAUUUUCGGUGAUGAUUUAUGAGUCACUCACAGAUGUUUAUGUUCUGAGGAAAAGAUGUAUCACUGGCCGUGUAAAUUCUGCUUUAAUUCAGACUCUCUUCAGCGCUGAUCUGAAACGCAUGUUCCUGUUCAGUUUAAGGCACGCAUAACUUGCAACAGAAUGUACCAGUCUCUUCUCAUCUGCACCAAAGUGCGAACACCAAUUGCCCGUUUGGCACUACCAAUUGCUAAUUUGGCUGAGACUGUUGUGGAAAAUCCAAAGGAGGCUGCGGUUUUCUCAGUUCCGGAGAUGGUGACAAACUGCAUCCAUAAAAAUCCAGUGCCCGGAAGCCACACGACGGUCACACACACAGGCACCAGCUCAGUGAAAAGACGACGAGAGAGGUGAGGGGGGGAGUGGGGAGGUCGGAGAUGGCGAACGGGGAAGGGAAGGGGGAGACGGUGGUGGUCACCGGCGCCAGCGGCUUCAUCGGCUCGACUCUCGUCCGCCGCCUCCUCGACCGCGGCUACAACGUCCACGCCGGCGUCCUCAACCCAGGUCAGAACGCAGCAAUGUCAUGGUCUCGCUUUCUUCGGAUGCGGUGGUUAUCAGAACGCGCGGUGGCGUGCAGAUGACAAGGCGGAGACGGACCACCUCCUCGCGCUCGCCGCCGGCGCCGGCGAGGGCCGCCUCCGCAUCUUCCGCUGCGACCUCCUCGACCGCGCGGCGAUCCUCGACGCCGCGCGGGGCUGCUCGGGCGUCUUCCACCUCGCCUCCCCCUGCACCAUCGACCCAGUCAGCGACCCUCAGGUACCAACCAUUCCCCCGUCGUCGCUGUCCUCUCCCUCCUCUACCCCAGACUGACCUGCUAUGUUUAUUUGUGACCCGCAGAAGCAACUGAUCGUGCCGGCGGUGGAAGGGACGCUGAACGUGCUGCGCGCCGCCAAGGAGGCCGGGGGAGUGCGGCGGGUGGUGCUGACCUCGUCCAACUCGGCCAUCAUGCCCAGCCCAGGGUGGCCGGCCGGCGAGGUCCCCGACGAACGCUGCUGGACUGACAUCGACUACUGCGAGAAGAACGGGGUGAGCCUACCCAUCGCUAGCGUAAUCUAGUUUCACCAUGCCGCACGAUGUGAUCAGCUUGGGAAACUCGGUGAACACCAGCGCAGAAGAAGGAUGCGGGAUUUGCAUCGCCUGCAAAGCUUCGAUUUCGUCAGUAAUUCCGCUGAUCUCUGUCUCUCAGGUCUCAGCUCAGGUCACGUUUGCUUUUGCGUGUAGCUUUGGUACUCUGUUUCGAAGACACUGGCAGAGAAGGCGGCGUGGAAGUUUGCAGAGGAGAACGGAGUAGAUGUGGCCGUGGUUAACCCGGGGGCUGUGAUGGGCCCGAUAAUUCCACCAACCAUCAAUUCUAGCAUGUCCAUCCUUCUACGCCUCCUUCAAGGUAAGGCUUAGGCACUUGUUUGAACUCUGAAUGCUACUUUUCAUUCAAAGCAUGACUGGUAGGCACAUACAUGCAUCCCAACUCCCUCUCUAGCUCCGCGCAUCUCGGGCGCACCCCGCCGACGGCUAUCCCGACCCCGGCAUCCACCAACCAAACCGCCGGCGACCGGCCCGGUCCCGGCAUCCACCUUUGCCCAACGCGCCUUCUCAAGCUCGUAUGGGUAGCUCCGGAUCUGACGAAGGACGGGGGAGGGGGAGGGGAGGCGAAGAAGAUUCUGCGGGUCCGUCGGCAGCAAUGUCUCUAGCAUUGCGGUCGCCCCGGUCGCCAUCCUUGAAUCCCUUGGCCCAUCCCUACGAGCGGGCGACCCGAGGGGCCGUCAGGGGGACCCCAGACUGGCUGAGGUACAGUGCCUCCUUUUCGUCUUCCUUGAAUGGGUCGCAGUCGAGGUCGCCGUCUGCUGCCCACCGAAAAGGGAAGGGGAAGGCGGUGGCGAUGGACAUCUCGCUAGUCACCCAUCGCUCCGUCCCUCCUUGUGGUGGUUUCAUGGCAGAUGCCCGGAGGAGAGGGCCUGCAUCCGGCACCUCGGCUGGCCGACCUAGGCCGCGGAUGCUGCUGGAACGCGAGGCCUCGGAUGUCGCACAUGCUUCAGGACGCGAGUUGCAUAUCCCCAACAUCAGUGACGAGGGACCUUCAGGUGAGGGCUGGGUGGAGGUCCGUCGCCGUCGGGGACAACACAGAGACAACCUCGGCCUGCAUCCUGCCCCUCGCUCGGUCCCGGUGGACCUGGUGGGACGAUGCUUCAAUUGCUUCGCCACAGACCAUGUCGCUGCUGCCUGCAGAAACCCAUCCCGUUGCCUCCGCUGCAGACGGGAGGAUCACCGGUCGCUUCCUCCGACGCGACAAGGUCAGCCUAUUCUCAGUCUACUGGACAUAUUGGCUUCCCUCCAGCAAUUUGCGCACCGCCAUCAUCAGGUCCAGAGGACAUGUCUAUCCCCUCAUCGCCGGCGUCACCUAGGCCCUAUGGUGAUCCUUCUCGCCGUUCGGCAACUGAAAUGUGUGUGGUACCAAGGUCGCAGCAGAUUGAAACUUGUGAAUCGCGUCUCUCGUCCUGUGCUCUGGUUGCGAUUAUUGGAGGUGCGCGCCCGUCGGUCUCUGCCAUGCAGGUUGGAUGAAUUCUCGAGGAAUUCCUCAAUGUCAUUCCUGAGGAAUAUUCUGUGCAGAGAUCGGACCCUGAUGACCUCUUGGUUUAGUUCAGUAUGCCGGCGGUAGCUGAACGGAUUCUACACUCUCAUUUGCUGCCGGAAGCAUCGUUCCAGCUGAUCUGGAGAAGAUGGCGCUGCCAGUCCAUGGCAAGCCUGGACUCAAUGCAGUUCAAAGUGUUGGUUGAGCUACGAGGGAUCCCUGCACACGCCCAUAAUUUGGAUACUGCACAUAUUGUUCUUGCUUCUGCCUAUUCCGAGGUGGUGGAGGCCCCGGCACAUCUUGCCGGGAACAAUAAUGCAGUUUUGUAUCUUGCGUGCUAAUGCAUUCAUCCGGACCUUGUCCCGAAUGAGAAGUUGAUCUUCAUCCCUGAGCCGCCGGCGCCGUAUGUUGAGUGCGGCCUCUUCCUGAAGCCUCAUGAGCUGAUUCACUCCAAGCAUGAUGGGUUGUGGUACAGGGUGUGCAUCAGGAUUGUGGAGGUACAAGAUUGGAACAUCUCCAGCGAUUCAUCUGACGACGGCACUCCGCCGGACAACUACGAUAGUUCGGAAGAUGAGGACUAUCCGGGCUUCUCACAACGCAGCAGAAAAAAUCCAUGGCCAAAGAAGACUCGGUUCACAGAUGAAGCAGGGGGCUCUGGUGGUGGACCUUCCCUUGGUCCUGGCUGGGGGCUGCCAUUCUCCAUGUUGGUGAGGACAGGGUACACGAUGGUGGCAAUGACGGCGACAGCAAGCCCCCCAGAACUGGCAUGGUCGCUGCCCAUGCCUCUGCCGUUUGGUCGCUGGGAGCGUGCCGUUGCUCAGGUGGGCCCACCGAGCGGUACAGCUACACUAACAGUAGCGGCUGUGUGCCUGGUUGCCUCACCCCCAAGCAGCGGCAAGGCGGAAAGUGCUCAGGAUGUCAUCAUCGCUGCUUUUGCUCUGAGAGAUAGUAGAACCAUGUGGGAUUUUGACCCGAUGGUGAUGGAGGUGGUCCUAGAUUCCCGGAGGAGUGCAAGACACCCACAUGUGGACAACACCCCUGCAUUAUUCGGGAGACAAUCCCACCUGGGUCACUGCGAGGGGGGCCAUCGUCUGCACAUGACCCGAUGAGGCUGGAGCGGAGUUGUCUCCCGUUUCGAAGCCGCAGCCAAUCCUGCCCAACACAGCUCCGUCUGAUGGGCUGGGCUAGGAAAAGGCAGCAAGUGGGCCGGGAGCACAUCUGUUGGCGAUUGCGGCUGGGCUGGCCACACAUGAUGCCAUUCAGGAGGAUGAACCAGACUUCCAGGUUCCAGCAAUGGACGCCGGGUUGAACAUCCCUGCGCCGGUCGAACACGUUGACGCGCAAGCAUCACUGAACCUCCACUCUGAUUCAGAUCAUGAGGCAAUCAACUUCGAAGUGGUACACUUCGAUGAUGCUCCGGCUCCUGGUUUACAUCCUACAGCACAUAACAAUUUCGUGACCCUUACCAGGGGCUCCACACAUACACUACCGUUUCAUUUCCCCCCGGAGACCUCUAUGCAUGUUAAGAAUGCUGCGGCUAACUUUGCACGUUCCAUUUGCAGGGCGAGAUUGCCGGUCACUUUGCAGCGAACACCGCCCAGGCACAAGGCCCGCACUCCUCCGAAUACAACACCGGCGAUCAGGAGAAGUGAGAGAUUGGCCAAGAAGUCUCGCCAUCGAGCGACAAACUGGCACUUCAAGCACAGAACGUGCUUAUGAAAAAGUUGGGCAUCUCAUCAUCUGCCGGGCCAUCUGUCGGGCCACUAGACGCUGCAGCCUUCCAGCGCUUCCUGGAGGUCUUCACCGCGACACUAUCCAUCUCCCAAUGCGAAGCCCUUGACGAGCUGAUUCCUGAUGGUCGGCCGCUAUUCAGGGCGACGAUAGCGGAGAUUGAGCCCUGAGCUCCUCCCUACCUGACUUAGCAACUUUGAUCGCUGAUAUAUGUUACUAUGAUUGCUGAAAACAUGUUGAUGUGGAAUGUUCGAGGGCUCAAUGCUAGAGCUAAGCGAAAUGUCGUGCGUGACCUGGUCGCCCAGGAGCGUGUCGCUAAUUACGUUACAAGAAACAAAACUUGAUGAUUGUAAUGAUGUGUUAAUUAUGUAGUUGCUAGGAAAUGACUUCAACUACUAUGCGUUGCCUGCGUCGCACACUUGUGGUGGCAUAAUUCUGGCAUGGCGACGAGAGGUCUGGGUAGCAUCUAACCCAAUGUUUUGCGAGAACUCCCUGACUGCUAAGGUAAAGCUUCUGGCAAAUAAUGAGGAAUGGUGGUUGACAUGUGUAUAUGGUCCCCAAUCGGAGGGGGACAAAAUACGUUUCUUAUCUGAGCUUUGUGAAGUGAGGAAUGGAUGCACCGACUCCUGGAUGGUAUGUGGCGACUUCAAUCUCAUAUAUAAGGCGAAUGACAAGAACAACUCACGACUUGAUCGAAGAAUGAUGGGUCGCUUCAGAUGCCUGAUUGAUGAUCUGGAGCUCCAGGAGUUGCAUUUGCACGAUCGCCUUUUUACAUGGAGCAAUGAACGGUUGGAGCCAACCUUGGAACGCAUUGACAGAGCAUUUGUCUCCGAGGAUUGGGUGUGGACUUUCCCAGAUCAUAACUUACGUGCACUGUCAUCCCAAUGUUCAGAUCAUGCCCCGCUUCUCCUGCAAACCUGUUGCGUGUUUACCUCGUUCAAACGUUUCCGUUUUGAAACCAUCUGGCCGAAAUACGAAGGCCGCAUGCAAAUUGUGGAACAAGCCUGGACAUGUCCAUGGCUGGAAGCCGACGCCUUCCGCACCUUAGAUUACAAGCUUCGCAGUACGGCGGUCGUGCUGAAGUGAUGGAGUGCCAAACAUGUAGGUAGCGUUCGGCUCCAACUAGAAAUUGCCAAGGAGCUGGUGCUCAGGUUUGAUGUGGCUCAGGAAACCAGAACACUAGCACAUCAUGAACAAACUCUUUGCAAUAAGAUGAAGCUCAAAUGCUUGGGCCUUGCAUCUCUACUACGGACCAUCAUGCAUCAAAGAUCACGCAUCACCUUCUUAGCGGAGGGUGAUGCCAACACAAGGUUCUUCCACCUACAGGCGUGUCAUCGCAGCUCGCUCAGGGUGGGCCAUCUUGAUGUUGUACAUGAAGAAGCUAAAGCUGUAGCAAUCUUCCAUCACUUUGAUGCCCUGCUUGGAUCGGCCUCCACACCAACAGUCUCACUGGAUUUUCAACGCCUGGGUAUUCCAUCUGCUGACUUGUCCUCUACUGAUCAUUGUUUUUCGGAGGAGGAGGUUUGGAAAACGAUUCAAGAGCUUUCACUAGAUAAGGCUCUCAGCUCUGAUGGAUUCACGGGUUCAUUCUACAAAAUAGCCUGGCCGGUCAUUAAGCAUGACAUCAUGCGCGCCUUCCAUGCUCUCUGGUGCCUUGACAGUCGCAGCCUCCACCUGGUCAACCCGGCUUACAUGGUUCUACUUCGCAAGAAGCCUGACGUAGUAAAUAUUGGAGACUAUCGUCCGAUUAGUCUGAUCCAUAGCUUCUCUAAGCUCUUUACAAAGGUGCUUGCCAAUAGAUUACCUCAUGAAUUGGACAAACUGGUUCGUCACAACCAAAGUGCGUUCAUACAAGGGCGCCUUUUACACGACAAUUUCAGGGCUGUGCAACUAUCAACUAAACUUCUCCACCGACGAAAGACACCAUGUGCGUUGGUCAAGGUAGACAUCUGCAAAGCUUUUGACUCGGUCGACUGGACCUUCCUGUUACGAAUUCUACGACACAUGGGUUGUACAAGACGAUGGAUUAAUUGGAUUAGUAUGUUGUUAUCCACGGCAAGCACUAAGGUCAUCUUGAAUGGAUCCCCAGAUGGGAGAAUUUGCCAUGCCAGGGGUCUUAGGCAGGGCGAUCCAUUGUCACCCAUGCUCUUCGUCCUUGCAAUGGAAGCUCUGAAUUCCAUGGUCAGGUUGGCAGAUAGAGAGGGGCUUUUGACGUCCCUAGGCAACAAUGCCAUACAAGAACGCACUUACCUCUACGCAUACGAUGUUGUGUUGUUCCUAUCGCUAAUGCAGCGGGAUCUGAUUGUCACUGGAGUGAUUCUGGAUUUGUUUGGUGGUGCAUCUGAUCUUCAUACAAACUUGGACAAAUAUCUCGUUUCAUCAAUUCAACGUGAUCUUGAACACACUGCCAGGUUGAUGCAGUUCUUUCCAGGAUGCCUAGAGCCUUUUCCAUGCAAGUACCUGGGGAUCCCUCUAUCUACUAAAAGGUUGUGAAGAAAUGACCUUUUGCCUCUAGUAGAUAUGAUUAGUGGAGGACUACCGACAUGGAAGGCAAAAUUGAAGAGCAAGGCCGGUCGGGCAGUUCUGGUUAAGGUCAAAAUGUCGGCCAUACCCAUUCAUACAGCCAUUGCGAUCUCCCUCCCUCCCCCCCCCCCCCUCCCGAGUCAUCAAGAGAAUUGACAAACGCAGAAGAGCCUUCCUGUGGAAAGGAACAGAAAUGGUCUCAGGGGUUCAUUGCUUACUAGCCUGGCCAAAGGUUUGCAAACCAUCUGCUCUUGGAGACCUUGGGAUCACAAAUCUCCAGAUCAUGGGCUAUGCACUUCGUAUGCGUUGGUUGUGGCUGAAGAAAACAGACUCCUCAAGAUCUUGGUCUGCCUUACCUGAUUCAGUGGAACUGAGAUGCUUUUGUACUCCAUGUCGGUACAAGUUGGAGAUGGGAAACAAACUUUGUUCUGGACAGACAGGUGGAUUGAAGGCCGCUCCAUUGCUGAGAUUGCUCCAUGCCUGCUCCAGGCGGUCGGUCCCAAAAUUCGCAAGAAAAGAACGAUCUAUGAAGGGCUACAAGAUAGAAAAUGGGUCAAGGAUAUCACGGGCACUCUAAUGGUUCAGGUUCUGCUACACUACCUCAACAUCUGGGACAAAUUGGAGAUGAUCACGCUAGAUGAUGUCGCCCCAGAUAGGGUGCUUUGGAAAUGGAUAGAAGAUCAUCACUUCUCCACAGCGUCGGCAUAUAGAGCUUUUUUCAUCGGACAAUAUGAAAUACCUGGAGCAAGGAUCUUGUGGAAGUCGCGGGCACCCGCUAAAUGCAAAUUCUUUAUGUGGCUCGUUCUUCAUGGCCGAUGCUGGACGGCAUCGAGGCGUAAGAGGCACAAUUUACAGGACGAUGAUACUUGCAUUCUUUGCAGGCAGGAAUCUGAAACCAUCAAUCAUUUGAUCAUAAACUGCUCUUAUGCCAGGGAGGUUUGGCACUUGUUUCUCUGACAAGUGAACUGGCAGACUCUAACGCCUUUUGUUUCAGAUCUUUCUCUGGCCGACUGGUGGAUGACAGUGAGGAAACGUGUUGACAAGGUGGCUAGGAAAUCUUUCGACUCAAUGCUGAUCUUGACUUCAUGGUCAAUCUGGCUUGAACACAACGCACGCACCUUCAACAGAAGAGAAAACAAUGAUGCAGCUGGUACUCAAGAUUUCUGAGGAGGCUUCUAUCUGGGUAGCUGCACGUUUCACUUGCCUAUCACCUUUCACUCCAUCUCUUCUUCCUCAUGACACGGGUAGCCUUGUAGCUUGGUCGCGGAAUGGUGCUAAUGUAAGUACUAAUUAGACUUCUUCUGUACAGUAGAUCAUCACCCCCAGAUGACACUGCUCAAACAUGUAAUCUUGCUUCUACCCUCUUAAUGAAAUACGUGCCAAGGCACGGUCGCGAAAAAAACUUUUCAUUCAAAAUACGAAAAUUUUGAGUUGUAGCCUCUGAUCAUGUCUAGCUUAGCUUACUCGUUACAUUUCAAAUCUACAGGUUUCCAAAUAGUGUUGACUGUUGAGAAUAUUGUUACAGAUAGUCUUUGACCACUUAAUGUUAGCUUCAAAUUACAUGUAGUGUUGAGAAUAUUGUUCUUUGUUUGCUCAAUUUUGCCGUUACCAAUAAGCUAAACGAAACAUUGAAGGACACCAUUUUGGCCAUGCAGGUUGCACAGAGGAGUACAGGGAUAUCUUUAUUGGAGCAGUCCACGUGGAAGACGUUGCCUUGGCUCAUAUCCUGGUGUUCGAGAACCCAUCAGCAUCCGGGAGGCACCUCUGCAACGAAUCCAUCUCUCACUGGAGCGACUUCGCGGCCAAAGUCGCCGAGCUCUACCCCAACUACAAAGUGCCCAAGUAAGCCACCAUCCAAACCUUUUCACAAUGAAUGUCUGCGAAUAUCUGGGGAUGCUUGUGUCUUCUGCUGUUGAAAUCUCUGCGUGUGCUUGAGACUUUGUGUUGCUGCUUUGUGCACAGGUUCCCCACGGAUACCCAGCCUGGGCUGGUCAGAGCGGAGGUGGGGUCGAAGAAGCUCAUCGCGCUGGGGAUGCAGUUCAGCUCCCUGGAGAAGAUCAUCAGGGAUGCAGUGGAGAGCCUCAAGAGCAGAGGGUACAUCUCCUGAUGGCUGGGUAUAUCUCGUGAAUCGUGAUCGUGGGGUACUGUAAUGUCUUCGUGGACCUUGCUACUGUACCAUCUUAGAUAAUAAGGUACUGUUGGAACCGUACAGUAUGAAACUAAGAUCCAAUCAAGUUCAGAAGCAGGGAAUUCUCAAAGGUGACAUCGAAUUUCAGUUUUGAUUAAUGAAGUUUCAAGUUACCUAUCAGAAUGUAAAAAAAUUCAAGGAGUUACAAAUAUAAAACUUGAUGAUUUAAUAAAGAGGUUAAAGUAGGCUAUCACCAACCGCAAAGUCUGAAUCUGAACCAUUAACCACAAAGUCUGAACCUGCACCUGAAUCUGAAUGGUAAAGUUCAUCCUUCACAUUGGAGAAUCUUUAAGGAGUUACAAAUACUAAACUUUCUUUUCAAAAGAAAUAAAUACGAACUUGAUGAUUCAAAGAGAUUCAAGUACGCUAGUUGCACCAUCAUCAUCAACCACUAAAAAUCUGAAUCUGAAUCAGAAUAGUAAAGUUCAUUCUUGGAACUGAAAUAUGCUGCAGCAUCUGAAUUCAGCAACGGCAUUCUGAGCACGUCAUGCACGUUCUCGGGCAGCUUCUGCAUGAUGCGAACCAAGAACUCCAUGAAGCAGACGAUGUCCAGCGUCGCCUUCUUCCCUUUCCUCUUGUCUCUUUCACUGAGAGGCUUCAAGGCCUCCAUUAUUUCCGCCGUGCAGUCUUGGAGCGUCGGCCUCACCUCUUCUUGGCUGAGCUCGCCGACGAUGCUCCCCGGUGACACGAGCGUCGGCUUGUAACCCCAACACAACGCAUAGUCUGACCCCUCCGGUGACAGGUUGUACAGCAACUUUGCCUUGUCCAUCGCCUUGGUUGCGACGCGAUACAUGUAGAGUUUGCCGCCGCCUCCGCCGCCGGCCACGGUGUGACGGAUGCAAGUACAUGAAUAGCACGCCGCCGCAGUCCCAAACACCGGUGAUCGAGGUCUUUUGUAAAGCAGGCCAUCCAUCCUAGAUGACACUGCUCAAACAUGUAACCCUACUUCUUUCCUCCUAAUGAAAUACGUGCUAAGGUAUGAUCGUGAAAAAAAAAAUCAUCGUCGUCGUCAUGACGAAGAAUGAUGAGGCACCCCCGCUCCCACCGGCGUUGCACGUUGAGCAGCCACAGUGCUCUGCUGCGUCUAUCAGGGGCGGACCCACGCCUAGGGCCACCCGGGCCGUGGCCCUAGUCGCGGCCCAGAAAAAUCCACUACACCUCUUAAUUUGUGGCCCAAACUCAAAGGCCCAGACCCAAAGCAACAGGGCACAGCCGCCGCUUUUCAAUUUACUCUCUAGAGCACAAUGGCAUGAACAUCGACGAGGGUGAGAACAUCCUGUGCCACAAAUUACUAAACUUUAAACUAGACCCAGAGAACUUUCUUCUAACUAGACCGAUCUCAGAAGAGGAAAUCAAAAAGGUGAUUUUCUCGAUGGAGAAAAAUAUAGCACCUGGUCCUGAUCAUUUGCUAGUGGAAUUCUACCAAUCUGGCUGGAACAUCAUUAAAAAGACUUGAUGGAUAUGUUUCUAGAAUUCUGAGAACAUAAUCAGGAUAUUAGUAGACUGACUACGGAGUUAUCACCCUAAUUCCGAAAAUAAAGGAAGCCAAUAAGAUUCAACAAUAUAGGCCGAUUUGCCUUUUAAAUGUGAGCUACAAGAUAUUUAAAAAAACACUUAUGCUAAGAUUUGAAGAGUGUAUGAGCAGAAUAAUAAAUAGAUGCCAGACAGCGUUCAUAAAAAGGGAGAAAUAUCAUGGAUGGUGUUUUAAGCCUGCAUGAAAUUCUCCAUGACUCAAAAGUUAAAAAGAAAGAUGGGGUUAUCCUGGAAUUAGACCUUGAAAAAGCGUAUGACAAGAUAAGUUGGGAGUUUUUGUUUGAUUGACUAGAGCAAAGAGGCUUUAGUGAAACCUGGUGCAAGUGGAUUAGAGAAGUAGUGUUGAGUGGUACGCUAAGCAUAAGAGCAAAUGAUUUGCCGGGAGAAUACUUUAAAAGCGGCAAGGGGUAAGACAAGGGGACCCUCUGUCUCCCCUUCUCUUCAACCUAGCAGCGGAUACCCUGACUAAAACGAUACAUAAAGCACAAGAAAAUGGCUAGAUAAAAGGCUUAGUGCCAGAAUACAUCCCCAAUGGGAUUGUUGUUCUGCAAUACGCAGACAACACGAUCCUGUGUAUGGAGGCUAAUGAGGAGACUGUUCAAAACAUGAAGCUCCUGCUAUACAUCUAUAAAAAGAUGUCUGGGCUGAAGAUUAACUUCAAUAAGAGCGAAAUCAUAAUGGUCUCCCAAGAUGAUCAAAAAUCGUUGACCUACUCUGAUAUGAUGCACUGUGCUAUAGGAACUUGGCCCAUUAAAUACUUGGGUGUUCUUGUAGCCGGAAACAAACUACAUGUCAUUGAUUGGCUUUUGUUAGAUGAAAAAUUGCUAAAAAGACUAGAUGGAUGGCAGGGUAGCUCUUUGUUGAUUGUGGGGAGACUGAUCCUGAUUAAUGCUUACCUGAGCAGCAUCCCUGUAUACUGCAUGUCCAUGUACCUGCUUUCGAAAACAAUUAUAAAAAAAAUGGAUAAAACAAGAAAAAUGUUCUUUUGGAGGGGGGUACGAAGAGGAAAUACCACCUGGUGAAAUGGGUUAAAAUUACUAGGCCAAAGAGGAAAGGGGCUUUGGGAAUAAAGGAUCUAAGGAAAAUGAACCUGGGUUUGCUUUGUAGAUGGUAGUGGAAGAUUGAGAUGGAAGAAGGCCUUUGGCAAGCGAUUGUUAGGAAAAAAUUUAUGGCCCAUGGGGGAAUAACUCGAUUGAAACGAAAACAACUAAUUCCCCUGGGUGGAAUGACCUUUUAAAGUUGAAAGAUUUUUAUAUGAAGGGUAGAAUAAUGAAAAUAGGGAAUGGUAAGGAUACUGACUUCUGGAGGGACCCAUGGUGUGGCCCUUUGACACUUAAAGACAAAUUUAGAGAGCUUUAUGAAGUCUGUGAUGAACAAACUAGAAGUGUGGCUCUUAUGGCUGUAAGAGGAUGGAGAUUAUCAUUUCGGAGGUGGCUGGAGGAGAGAGCGCAAACUCAGUUGAGGCAACUGCAGGAUAUGCUAUCAACUUGUGCCCUCUCGGCUGAAAAAGAUAGGCCUAAGUGGAUCCGGGGGAAAUCUAGGAUUUUUUCUGCCAAGUCUACGUAUUCACAUAUGUGCAGUUCUGAAACUGAAUCUCCUCAUGCUUAUAUCUGGAAAUCGAAAAUCCCUCUGAAAAUAAAAAUUUUCAUGAGGUUGCUGCAGCAAAAUGCCAUUCUAAGUAAGGACAACCUGCUGAAACGUAGUUGGCAGGGAGACAAGAGAUGUUGUUUUUGCCUCUUGGAUGAAACUAUUGAACAUCUGUUCUUUGGGUGAUCCUUAGCUAAAUAUGUAUGGAGCCUAAUAGCUAUGGUAAUUGUAGCUCCUUGUAGGCCAACUUCCUUUGCACAGUUUUGGGAUUGGACUAGUCGAUCUAUGCAACAAAGUAUAAAUGUUCAUAUGGUUGGCUUAUCAGCAAUUUGCUAGGCGCUCUGGAAAGCUAGAAAUGCUUCUUGUUUUGAAAAAAAGCAAACUAAAUCUUAUUGGGCAGGUCCUCAGAAACCGGAAGAGAAGAAAAUCCUGGAGGCCGGAGCUGAUGCGUUGAAGGAGACGACACUGCACUUAAGAUGCAGGAACGGUGCUACUGCAGUGAGGAGUUGAUGUUUAGUUGUAAUUGUGGGAGCUUGGGUGUCUCAACCAGUCUGUGGUGCUGCUGGGCAAUAGAUAGGUGUUGUUGGGAGUUAUGGUUAGGUUCUGUCAGUUCAGUAUCUUCCUGGUGGGAAGGUCCCUUGUAUCUUUCUUCUUGGAAGGUCUUUUGUAGUCUCAGGGGUGAUUCGGUUGCUAAAAACGUUCAAAACUCCGUAAUUUCGUUGCUUCUAUAGCCCUUAGUGGAAAAAGGGCACAGCAGCCGCACGCUACAGGCUCGCUGUGUCUCUCACCGCUCGUCCUCGCCUCUGUUCGAGUCUUCGCGAGUUAUGCCACGCGGUCGCCGCCUCGUGCUUCGCGCCGCCGCCUUCGCCGCCUCAGCUCUGCCCACGCGCGUCGGCAGCCGACCGGCUCCGUUCCUCGCGCUCCUCUCCUCCUGCAGGCCUGCCCACACGCGCCGCUGCGCCAGCUGGAAGGAAGCAGGCAGGUUGCAGGCAGCCACCGCCGGCCGGAUGGAGGCUGCCAAGCAAGCGCCUCUCAGGUGUUUAUCUAAUUAUCUUCGAACCUCUCUCUAAUCUCCAACGAUUUGUAGUUUCAAGUUUCUAUUCAAUAUAUUAAUUGACAUUUUGGAAGUGCAAUUUCAGACUUAGAGUCCUAGACUUGCAAUUGGUAAUGCAAAUUGCAAAAUGAAGAGGAGCGGAACUUUAGCAUCUUAUUUCCCUCGUGUUCCUAGGUGUUCCUAGGUAUUUAUUUCUAUGUGUUUUCUUGACAAGCCAUUUAAGAAUUUUAGAACUUAUUAAAUGGUAAAAUUAUCUUGUUCGUCCCUAUUUAUUAGGCAUGGCGUAGACAGAGGGCGGGCAUGGCCAGGCCACCCUAUGACACCAUUUUUUUUCCACUGAAAAUUUUAAAAUUCAAAUAAAUUUCAAAUAUUUAACACAGUUGGCCUCCUAACAUGAAAAAAAAAAUCAGUUUCUAGCUCUACUCCUAUUAUUAGCCAUAUUUUGCGCUAAUUGACAGCUUCAUGUACAUACUCAUACCGUAUUUUGCGCUAAUUGACAGCUUCAUGUACAUACUCAUACCGAAUAGGAUAAUGUCUUAUUUUUAGGAUAAAUUUUCAAUCUAGAACAACUUACUUUUUUGGACGAAGGGGGUAUAUCCUGUCAUCUGCCCUACUUUUGAGUACCGAAUUUCAGACCUAGUCUUAACAAAAAGCUGGAUCCGCCACUGGCGUCUAUCGUACAUAUCCAGGCACGGACGGCCAGACACCUCCAUGAGCUUGGAGAUCGCGUGACGGGGCUCCGGCAAGCCGAUGUUGGUGACCGUCUCGCUGUCGACGUCGAAAGCAAGGAUCGCGGACUUGCUGACGUGGAGGAGGUAGAUCGUGCCGUCCAUGUAGAGCGAUUGGCCGGUGAUCUCCCCGACGACGCCCUCCCCCGACAACACGGUCCGUAGUCGCGGUUUCUUCUUCCUCUCGACGCCGCCGCUGCUGAGCGUGUAGACCAGCAGCUCCUUGGGAUACCUAACAAUGGGGGGACUGCUAAGGAGGAUUUUACUCCGCAUGCGCCGGCGUGUUAGGAGAAGCUUGUAUGUUUUGGUCGUGGCGCUGUAACCCAACCCUAGUAUGGCACAGUCGUCACGGGUGGAGACAGGGAUCGUCACUUCCUUCUCCUCGUCGGCGAUGGCCGGGUUCCAGAGGACGCACGUGGUGGGCCUCGGCUUGCCGCCGGCGAGCAGCACGACGCCGUUGCAUCGGGGCGUUGCCGCUGCCGAGACCUGCGCCACCAGCGACGUGGAAGCCGUGGUAGCCGGAGGCGGGACCCCGCUCGCCGCCGCUCCUCCGUACAUUCGCUGUCGCGACGUACGCGACGUGCGGGCGGGGCAGCGGCGGGGCGAGGCGGCAGUGGAGGGCCCUGAAGUCGGGGCAGCGCAUCAGGCGGCGGUGGUGCUUGGAGAGCGCCAUGGACGCGACCGCGGUGCGCGCUGGCACACGGGCGAAGAUGCUGCGGAGGACGUCGUCGCACAUGCCUGGCGUCGACGAUGUGGUGGCUCGUGUCGUCGUCGUCCUCGUCAUCGCGGCUGACCACUUUCUCGGCGCCGCCGCGACCUCGUCAUCUCUUGCCUUCCGCUUCGCCAUGCUAUCGUGAACAACUGCGUAGAUCGACUAAGUCAUCCCGUUUAGGAGCCAUAGCCAGCCUAUAUAUGAUUCGCCAAAAUGGAUCAGAAUGCCAUACAGAGGCCGCACGGUAAAAAUAUCUGUUACCCCAUGUUAAUUUGUUGCACAGUAAUAUAUAACGUGUGGCCAAGUAAAUAUGCCUGCCAGUCACAAAUCUUAUGCAGAAAAGGAUUUUUGAAUUGGGACCCAAAUCUCCAGGAAAAGAAAACACCGGCGCCUUGUAGCAGGGGUCCGUGGAGGGCUGGAGCCUGGAGACCAGGCUACGGCACUGUUUUGGCAAAUUGGUAGAAUUUUUUCAUCUAUAAUAAUAAUUUUUUGUGCACAAUAAAUCCAGGCUUAGCUUGUUGUUCGAGGUUGAUGCUUUGCUAAAAACAAUUCUGUGAAAAUACACCCAUCCGAGAGCUUGAGGUCAUACAUCCAAAAUUGCUAUAUCUUGCAGAACAGCCGAGUAAAUAUGCAUUCCAACUAGCUGCAGCGUAAACAAUGCGAGAAAACUGAUCGGAAGGCAUGAUAUCGCAAUAUAUCAGUGUAAUACAGAGAAACACAAUGAACAUGGACCGUACGAGGAGACAAAAAUAUUGUGCUCAACAAAUUAACAUUAACCAGAUACAGCAAUGUUGCUUUCUCGAAACAGGAAUAGUCUAUAAACCCAUCGGUGACAAAACUAAGCCCUGAAACACAUUCCUCAACU
rnacentral:lncRNA from 1 species